AUUCCAGCUCCAAUAGCGUAUAUUAAAGUUGUUGCAGUUAAAAAGCUCGUAGUUGGACUUGUGGUGGUCCCUGUGGUCCUUUUUUUGGUACUUUCGGGGACUGCCAUCCUUGGGCGGAUCCUGUGUGGCAUUAGGUUGUCGUGCAGGGGAUGCCCAUCGUUUACUGUGAAAAAAUCAGAGUGUUCAAAGCAGGCUUAUGCCGUUGAAUGUAUUAGCAUGGAAUAAUGAGAUAGGACCUUGGUACUAUUUUGUUGGUUUGCGCACCGAGGUAAUGAUUAAUAGGGACAGUUGUGGGUAUUCGUAUUCCAUUGUCAGAGGUGAAAUUCUUGGAUUUCUGGAAGACGAACUAAUGCGAAAGCAUUUACCAAGGAUGUUUUCAUUAAUCAAGAACGAAAGUUAGGGGAUCGAAGAUGAUUAGAUACCAUCGUAGUCGUCA
rnacentral:rRNA from 1 species